rnacentral:lncRNA from 1 species
AGGCCCAGGCCUGAGCCUCACAUGUGGCCCCGGGGAAGGCAUCAGGGACUCCCUUUGCCCUCCCACUGACCUCCCUGCAAACCUCCCCCAAACCAAGGGGCAUCCUCAGCUGGCCAGACCCUGGGGGAAGGGAGAGAGCCGAGGAUCACCGGCACCUGUGGCUGGGUUACCCCUGCCAUGGACCACUGGGUGAUCAAGAAGUCAUUCCAAAAUGUGAAGCGUUCUGAAGAUAUGCACAUAGCGUAAGAACCUGGUGUAAUGUGCUGGUCAAGGCGGUCUCAGAGAGGAGAUGACGUUUGAGCUGACACCUGAGGGAUGAGAAGAAAGCAGCCAUUCCCAGGGCCCAGGGGAGGCAUCCCAGGAAGCCGGAUCAGCAUGAGCAAAAGCCCUGAGGCCUGGCACAAGUUGGUCUGCUUGAGAAGCAGGAGAGAGCCCUGAGCAUCCGGAGUGCAGCAAGCGAGAUGAGCAAGUCAAGAUGCAGAAGGACUCUCUGGCUUGUCCAAGGUCACACGGCUGUUAGGAGCAGAGCAGCGUCCUGGUGCCCAAGCCCUGAGGUCCCCAGCACACUGCCUCUGCAAUGGCCACAACUGUCCAAAGACUAAGCUGACUCUCACACCUGGUAGUGUCUGUGGUCAUUCACUGUGGAUGGAAGUGGAGAAAUGCAGAAAACAGAAACACAGCUUCCCCUUUUCUGUCAUAUUUCUGUAUCGUUGGUGUUUGGAGCCAGUUGAGCACAAAGGGCCCCUGAGUGCUGUUUCCUUGUGAUAUUUGGGGGUUAACAGCUUCCCCUCAUCUCUUAAUUACCUGCCCUCCUUCACUUCAGCUGCACAUUCGUUAAAGAAUGCUCUCCCAGGAGAAGAGCUUGGUGUUAUCACCCACAAACAUCUUAGAAAACUAAUGCUAUCCUUGAGUGCCUGUUUACAGAAACAUUUUUACAUCUCACUUGACAUUUCCAGCAAAUCUUGAUCCUUCCAGCCAGGAAUAUUAAUAUAUAGGUCUUGAAAAGUGCAAGAGGCUCUUCCAUGGCUCCAAGCACAUUUGACACUCUUCCUUUUCUGAUCCCCAAGCAGACAGUGAUGAAACCCCAAUAGCUGGGCGAAUACUCAUCCAACAGGAAGAAUCAGUUUUAAGAGCUGGGUUCUCAGGGUCAAAUACUGUGGUGUGGCCUUUUGGUUGUAAUGAGUUGAAUGGAGGUCUCAAAAAAGAUAUAUCCAUGUUCUAAUCCCCAGAACUUGUGAAUGUGACCUUAUUUGGAAAAAGAGUCCUUUUGGAUGUAAUUAAGUUAAGGAUUUUGAGAUAAGGAGAUCAUCCUGGGUUAUCUGGGUGGACCCUAAAUCUGUUGACAAUGUCCUUAUGAGAGACCCCAGAGGGCACAGACAGGAAAGGAAGAGGCAAUGUGGCCCCAGAGGCUGAGAUCAGAGCUCUGUGGCCACAAUUCGAGGAACACCUGGAGCCACCAGAAGCUGGAGGAGGCAAGGAACAGAUUCUCCCUGAUCCUCUGGAUACAGAGGGAGAAUAGCCUGGCCGACACCUUGAUUUUGGACUUCUGGCCCCCAGAACUGAGAAAAUUAACUUCUGUUGUGUUAAGCAGCCACGUUUGUAGCAGUUCAUCAUAGCAGCCCUGGGAAAGAAAUACAGUGGGCUUCCAGUUCAAGGAGGAUCCACGAGGCCUGAGCUCCAUCUGUCGAUUGGAAUCACCAAAAUCAAGGUUGUGUGCGGGUAACGCCAGCACAAGCAGCUCAUGCUGGCAAAAGCAGACCAAACCGGCUCACGCAACGUCAAGUCAUCUUGAAGUGGUUCACGCACCACAGUGAGUGGUAUUGAUUGUGGUUAAGAGCCAGGUUCAAGGAGGUUUAUCACUCAGUAGCCAGGUAAAGCAGGUUCCAGGCCUGGCUCCACCACUCAACAACCGGGGAAACAGGGGUAAGCUUCUUAAAUGCUCCGUGUCUCAGUUUCUCCAUGUGUAAAAUGAGGGCACUAAUAACAGUCCCUACCUGCAAGGUGGUUGUGAAGAUGAUAUGAAUUCAUAUAUGUAAGGCACUUGGAAUUGACAAUACUGACAUACCACAAAUACAAAAUAAGUGUCUGCCAUUAUUAAGCUAACCCAAAUCAAAACAGACACAGAUGAAUUCAGAAUACUCAAGUAGACUCAGAUAUGUUCAAAUGGAGCCCACCAGUUAAAACUAGCUGAGACCAGUGUAAACUGGCUCAAGCCUUUUGGGCCAAGCUGUACUAAAACCAGAUUAAAUCAGUCAAAACAGGAUUAGAAUAGUCAGUCUGGAAUCUCUACACGCACGCCUGCACAUUUGAGGGGUCUCUCUCCGCCCCCUCUGUACAUCAGAUUGAAUAGUAACAAACAGUCCCACAUCUCCCAAGAAUGAGCAUAAUGGACAAGCAGAGGGCCGCCAAUGUCCCCACCAGAACGAGCAUAAUGGACAGGCAGGGGGCCGCCGAUGUCCCCACCUAAGACAUGCAGACAUUUCCCUGUCGGAAACGCGCUCAGAUUCUUUACGGCAGGUCAAGGCUCAAAUAUCAGAAACCAAUUUCACUCACACUAACUAAACAAGAGACGGGAUCUGUGGUUCAGGAUCCUGAGGCACUCGUGAAACUCAUGGGUAGGAAGGUCAGCUGGAGCCAGUUAGUGUCUGGAAGGCUAUCAGAGCUCAAGGCCCCUCUCUCUGGCCCAUGGAGGGGAAUUAACUCCCUCAAAGGCAGGAGCUCAGUGAGCAGGAGGCUGGUAGGGAGGUGGGAGCUGCAGGUGACCGGUUAGAAGUCAGAGGCUGUUGUGGGGGGCAGCUUGCACCAGUGGACACAAGAGCCCCAACUUGUGGGCACUUGGAAGUCCCAGGCUGUUCCCUGGCUCCACCCCGUCCUCUGGGGUGCCUGCUUCACAGAGCACCAAUAAUGCGUUUGUGUCACUCUAUGUUUCCUGGCAGGAGCAGACCUGCAGAGGGGCCAGAAGACACCUGGCCGGGUGGGGAGCAGCCCCUCCGUAAUAACAAUCGGAACCUGGGAAGAUAAGUAGAGUCCCAGGGGAGGGACAGAGUUUCCCCUGUGUCACCACAUGGCUACUUUGACACAAAUGCACGUGGGCAGAGAGAGGCAUGCAGGUCAAGGGCCUGGCAGGGAGUCAGGGGCCCUCAGUGCCAGUCCUGGCUCUGCCUCUGCCUCUGACACGCCAUGUGACCUUGAGCAAGUCACCACCCUGUCUGGGCUUCGCUAACCCAUAUACGGAAUGAGAAGGUAUCGUCCCUGGUCACUGCAGGUUUUAAAUCAUGUAGUGAGAGAGAGCUCAUUUGGUCCAACUCUCUGCAACUGAAGGAAUGGAGACACCAAGGGGGAGUAAUCGGCCGCAGUGAUGAGUGGGUGGCAAAGGGAGCUAUCACUACCAUUGAUUAUCCAGCUACUUGUGCUUGAUAAACUCCCUCCUGGUGGAAUGGGCUUUCCCACAUCCAGCAGCACAAAUGCUGUGAGCAUCUACUACGGGCUGGGCACCUUCUCUGGGCUGGCACUUGACAUGGGUUAUCUCAUUUAACUCCCUAACAACCCUAUGUGGUAUUAUCAUCCCCAUUUCACAGGCGGCAAAACUGAAUCCCAGAGAGAAGACUCACUCAGACACAGCUAUCUGAACACUCUUUUCCAGUUCCCCUAGGGCAGCAGAGGAAGCAAGGUGGGGGGAAGCCAGUGGUCAAGGAUUCCAUGCGGAAUGUACCCUAGAAUUAACCCAUGGAGAGAGGGGUCUCGCUCUGUUGCCCAGGCUGUAGUACAAUGGUGCAAUCUCGGCUCACUGCAACCUCUGCCUCUGGGUUCAAGCGAUCCUUUGCCUCCGCCUCCUGAGUAGCUGGAAUUACAGGCAUGCACCAUGAUGCUUGGUUAAUUUUUGUAUUUUUAGUAGAGUCAGGGUUUUGCUAUGUUGGCCAGGCUGGGCUCCAACUUCUGGUCUCAAGUGAUCCACCCGCCUCGGGCUCCCAAAGUGCCAGGAUUACAGGCGUGAGCCACUAUGCCUGGCCAAAAGUGGCGAUGUGUUCUUAAUGCCCAUUUUCACAUAAAAGGUAAUAAUCUACCCACACCAUGCUGUACCUUGUUUGUUUUUUGUGUGUUUGUUUGUUUGUUUUUUGACAGAGUCUUGCUCUGUCAGCUAGGCUAGAGUGCAGUGGCACAAUCUCAGCGCGCUGCAACCUCCGCCUCCCGGGUUCAAGCGAUUAUCCUGCCUCAGCCUGCUGGGUAGUUGGAAUUACAGGAGCCUGCCACCAUGCCCAGCUAAUUUUUGUGCUUUUAAUAGAGAUGGGGUUUCACCAUGUUGGCCAGGCUGGUCUCGAACUCCUGACCUCAAGUGAUCCAUCCACCUUGGCCUCCCGAAGUGCUGGGAUUACAGGCGUGACCCACCGCGCCUGGCUCUUGUUUGUUUUUUUAACUAAUCACACAUCUUAGAGACCUUUAUCAGUAAUUAGAGAGCUUCCUGGAUCUUUUAUAUCACUGCAUAAUAAAUAUUCUAUUAUAUAGAUUAGAAUAAUUCAAAUUACCAGUUCCCUAUUGGUGGACAUUUGUUUCUGGUUUGUUUGUUUUUUCUAUUUUUUUUCUUAUCACAAACAGUGCUGCAAUAAGUAAUUGUGCAUAUGCACUGUUUCACAUGUGUGCAGGUAUACCUGCAGGAUAAAUUCCCAAAAAUGAAUUCCUGAUUUAAGAGUAUCUUUUUUUUUUUGAGACAGGGUCUUGAUCUGUUGCCCAGGCUAAAGUGCAGUGGCAUGAUCACGAUGCACUGCAGCCUCAGCCUCCUGGGCUCAAGCGAUCUUCCCACCUCAGCUUCCCAAGUAGCUGGGACUACAGGCAUGUGGCACCACGGCUGGUUAAUAUUCUCAGUGUAACAGAGUUUCAUCACAUUGCCCAGGCUGGUCUUGAACUCCUGGGCUCAAGCAAUCCUCCCACCUCAGCAUCCCAAAGUGCUGGGAUCACAGGCAUGUGCCACCAUGCCUGGCAGGUUGAAAGUACUGUAUGAGUUAUCUAUUGCUGCAUACCAGAUUAUCAUAAACUCAGCAGUUUAAAAAAACACCCAUUGUUUAGCUCACAGUCUCACCUGAACUGGGUGCUGAGUUCAGGGUGAAACCAAGGUGGCGGCCAGGCUUGGUUCUUUUUUGGAAGCUCUGGGGGGAAAAUCUACUUCCAAGGCCAUUCUUGUUGUUGGCAGAAUCUGGAUCCUUGUGGUUGUAGAACUGAGUCUCUGGUUUCUUGCAGGCUUCCAGGAGGGGCCUCCCUGGGCUCCCGGAGGACACCCACAGUCCUCACCAUGCAGCUCCCUCCAACAUCAAGCCAGGAAUGGCCGAACAGAUCUUUCUCAUGCUUCAAAUCUCUGAUGAAUUUCUCUUGCCAGAGAAAGCUUGCCAUUUUCCAAGGGCUCACCCAGUCAGAUCCGUCCAACAAGGGUGAUCUCCCUAACAUUAGGUUAACUGACUUGGAACCUCAGUUAAUCUGCAAAAUCCCUUUUGUCAUAUAAUGGAAUACAAUCAUUUGGUUCACAUGCUCAUCUUAUUCACAGGCCCUACACUCAUACAAGGGCAGGGGACCACAGAAGAGUGAAGGCCAGUGAGGGUCACCUCAGAAUUCUGCCCAACACCGGUGUUUUGUAAUUUGGGUAGAUGUUGCCAUGUUGUCCUCCGUGGGGAUUAUGCAGAGGGAACUCUCCUCCUCCAGCAACAGUACAUGUACCUGCUUUUCCAUGGUGCUGCUUAGAGAAUGUUAUCAAACCUUUGGAUUUCUGCCAGUCUGAUAGGAGAAAAAUGGAAUCUCAAUUGUAUUUUAAAAUUGUAAUUAUCGCCUUAUGAAUAAGGCUGAGCAUUUCCUCAAAAGCAUAAGAGCCAUUUAUAUACUUUUUUCUUUAUGGCUUCUGGUUUUGAGGCAUAGAAAGGUCUUUCUAGCUCUAAAGUUAAUCAGAAAUUCUCUGUUUUCUUUUUGCUUUUUUUAAAAUUUUACUUUAAGUCCUUGGAUACAUGUGCUGAACGUGCAGGUUUGUUACAUAGGUAUACAUGGGCCAUGGUGGUUUGCUGCACCUAUCAACCCGUCAUCUAGGUUUUAAGCUCCACAUGCAUUAGGUAUUUGUCCUAAUGCUCUUCCUCCUCUUUCCCCAUGCCCCCAACAGGCCCCGGUGUGUGAUGUUCCCCUCCCUGUGUCCAUGUGUUCUCAUUGUUUAGCUCCCACUUAUGAGUGAGAACAUGCAGUGUUUGGUUUUCUGUUCCUGUGUUAGUUUGCUGAGGAUGAUGGUUUUCAGCUUCAUCCAGGUCCCUGCAAAGGACAUGAACUCAUUCUUUUUUAUGGCUGCAUAGUAUUCCAAGUUGCAUAUGUGCCACAUUUUCUUUAUCCAGUGUAUCAUUGAUGGGCUUUUGGGUUGCUUCCAAGUCUUUGCUAUCGUAAGUAGUGCUGCAAUAAACAAAUGUAUGCAUGUGUCUUUAUAGUAGAAUGAUUUAUAAUCCUUUGGGUAUAUACCCAGUAAUGGGAUUGCUGGGUCAAAUGGUAUUUCUAGUUCUAGAUCCUCGAGGAGUCGCCACACUGUCUUCCACAAUGGUUGAGCUAAUUUACACUCCCACCAACAGUGUAAACGUGUUCCUAUUUCUCCACAUCCUCACCAGCAUUUGUUAUUUCCAGACUUUUUAAUGAUUGCCAUUCUAACUGGCAUGAGAUGGUAUCUCCUUGUGGUUUUGAUUUGCAUUUCUCAGCUCAUUGCAACCUCUGCCUCCCAGGUUCAAGCAAUUCUCCUGCCUCAGCCUCCAGAGUAGCUGGGAUUACAGGGGCACGCCACCAAGCCCAGCUAAUUUUUGUAUUUUUAGCAGAAACAGGGCUUCACCAUGUUGGCCAGUCUGGUCUCAAACUCCUGAUCUCAAGUGAUCCAUCCACCUCAGCCUCCCAAAGUGCUGGGAUUAUAGGCGUGAGCCACCACGGCUGGCCAUUCUCCUGUGUUUUCUUCUGGGGCUUUUAUACUUUCAUUUUUUAAAAUCCAUAGUUUCUUGGAGCUGGAGGUGUCCCUUGUCAUUUUCUCAUCAGUGAGUGCAAAGCAGGAUCCCAAAAGGAUUGGAGUCCAGAGUAGAGAAAGGAGCUGCCGCGGUGGAGUCUGUUCAGUGCAGGCUCUGAUCUCCUUCAGCCCUGCCAGGAAUCCCAGCCAGCAGAUCUUCUUCCAGCUUCCCUUUCUCCAGCACUCUUGAUCUUCUGGGCUGGCACAGGGUCCAGGGUUGAUGGGGAUCCUAGCUGCCUGAGGAGCUUCCAGUCUGGAGGGUGAUACAAGCACAUGGCCAGACCUGAAUUCAAGCCAUGAGAGAGAUUCAGAACCUGGGCUGGGAGCGCAGGGGAGGGAGCGGGGUGCUGAUGGGGGUGGAUGGGAGGCUCCAGAGAGGAGGUGGCGUCUGAACUGAACCUUAAGAAUGAGGGGAAAUGUAAUGGCAGCGAUGAGAAAGGGGAGGCACUUCAGUGCAGAGAACAGCAAGAGCAAAGACAAGGAGGUGGAAAAUCAGCCAGAAACCUAGCCUGGAGAGGGUUUAGUGGACCAUGGGUCCUUGAUGGUAGAGACACAACAUGACUUAUCUCUGUGUCCCAUCCUCUGUGCCAGAGGCGGCAUCGACCAGACUUGGACAAAUGAAGCAGAAGGGACAGGGGACUUAGAAUACUAGGCUGCAUCAUUUUCUUUUUACUCUGACAGUGAGAAGCAAAGACCUCCACAAAGAAAGAAGCCCUUGGCUGUGUCAUCAUUUUAGAAUCUGGGCACUCUCUGCACACCACUGCCCCCUCAUGGCUGAUCUAGGAAUUCUCUCUAAAUCCCAGACUGAAGGUGAGGAGGAGGCUCAGUGAGUCUUAGAGAUUUGAAAAGCCGUGAAAUCCUGGUUGGAGAACAUCUGAGUCCAAAGGGCCCUCAGAGACUCUCUGACUUCCUCAUUA